UAUUUUAUUUUUAAUAAUUCGUAAACUACUGAUCACUUCGAUUCGAUUUUAAUUUUUGAUGUUUUUUUUAGAUAAAUAAAACAGUAGAAUUAAUUCAAGAAAUUGUUACACUUCAUCAGCCAUCUUGCUUAGAUUGCAUCUUUCAAAGUUUAACUUUACGAUUACAACAUCAGAAUACAACGACUCAAAUAUGUGGAUUUUUAAACAUUACAUAUCGUAGUUUUUUAACGAUCAUGACCACUGCCUUGGCGUUUUUAUUGUUGCAAUUGCAAUUUUGAAAAUUUCAGAGAAAAGACAAAUGUUUGUAGCGUUCUUUUGUGAAGGAUCUCAAAAGCCAAUUCACUUAUUUAUUCGAAAAAGUAACGAAAAAAAACAACUCGUUCAAGAUGAGUGAUAAGUACCUAUUUUUACCUACCUAGGUUUACAGACUGAAAGUAAUUUUUUAAUUUGAAUAAAAAUCAUACGAAUUCAUUUUCAAUUUAUUUAUUUAAACCUACGCGUCAAUUUUUGCAAAACAAAUCGAUAAAUUUCAAUUUCAUUCCAAUCAUCAUUCGACUUUGUCAAAGCCUUGAAUCUUUUGAGUAUACCUAUCUAGUUUCAAAUUGACAACCUUUACUAUUGUCAUUUUUACUCCACAAGGUUAACAUGUUCGCAUUUAUUACUUAUCCUACCUACUCAAUAUUGUCAAAUGCUGUACGAACCUACCUAUUUUUUCAGAGUUCUCCACACAUUUAAAGACUCAUGUACAAUGACAAAACGAACAGCCAAUUUUAAAACGAGUUUAUUCAAUUUGAUCAAGUUAUUUAACUCAGCGAGUAAAUUGACCGGAUUCUCCGUUACAAAAUGCGACGAUUCAUUAUUGUCUAAAAUUCUCCAUGAAAUAUUUUUUUUCGUGUUAUCGUUCUUUGCGCUUUAUUGUACGAUACGGGCAGAAAUGUGGUGUGUAAAAUUUUUAAAAAUGGACUUGGAUGUGAAAAAACUAGUAGUAUUUACUGUCAGCCAACUCAUAAUAUUAUUACCACUCAGUUGCUUAUUAUAUUACAGAUUAUGUGAUUUACCCGUUUGGAAAAUUAUAUUAAAAGCUAAACAUCUCGAAGAAAAACUAAUCAUUUGCGAUAUAUGUUUAGAAAUAAGACGUAUCGGCUCUAUCGGUUUGUUUUUCUGGUUUUUUCACUUUUUUAGCAUCAUGGGUAUGAUGUAUUACUCAUUGUGGCCUACUUUUGUUUUUUUUUUGGUUGAUAUGAUAUGUAUGUUUUAUUUCGAAGCCUGGAUAACCAUCCCGUAUUUACAAUUUUUGGGAUGGAUUUGUUUUUUGUGCUAUGUGUCGUGUAAGGUGCAACAUAACAUCGUCGAUAUCAAUAAAUUGGAUUAUUUAGCGGAUUCUGAUUUAUACCGAGUGAAGAAUAGGUUCGAUAGGAUGACUUGGGAAGGAUACGAAUCCGAUAGAGUGAUACAGAUUAAAAGAAUAAUUGGGCUUCUGAAGCAAGUGAGUAGGUACCUAUAUACUGGGGGUCUUUUGACUCGAUAAUUGGUGGGUAUGAUGGAAAUGGUUUGCUACGUUUGUUCUUAUUGCCUGAAGAAAAUUUCAUUUUUUUUUUUUUAGGUAUUGAACAUUGCUAAUGAGUUAUCAGCUGCGUAUGGAAUCACAGUGUUGAUUUAUAUUCUGAGUUAUGUUUCGAGAGUCCUCAUACAGUUUUACGAUUUAAUUGAUAAAGACGCUCAGAAUUUUCCUGUGUGGCUGGCUGGCUGGAAUGUCAUUGGCAGGAUUGUAUUCUUGUUACCUUUGUUCAUUAGUUGCGAACAAUUGACUUAUAAUGUG